AAAUUAAACAAGGAAAAUUCACAACUUUAAUCUCCAUCAUUAAUUCAAAUUUUGGGAGAGAAAAUUGGAAAUUCGAUAAAACUGCUGUUCAUAAGGUCCGCGGGGUUUAAAAUAUGUUACCAGAAAAGAAAUGAGAAGAAAGAAAAGAAAAGGAAAAGGAAAAGGUCUAGCGGAGCUGUUGCCAUUGUUAGAAACGAUUUCCUUCAAACACAACUUGAUUUUCCAGUUGGAGGCAAAUUAUGCCCUGAGGGGACGUAUAUGAACAUAUAAGCAAAAUUACCUCUGUUUAAAGUUUGAAAAUCUGUUUGAAAUUACCAGAAAUACUGUCAAAAUUAAACAAGGAAAAUUCCACAACUUUAAUCUCCAUCAUUAUUCAAAUUUUGGGAGAGAAAAUUGGAAAUUCGAUAAAACUGCUGUUCAUAAGGUCCGCGGGGUUUAAAUAUGUUACCAGAAAGAAAAGAAAAGAAAAGAAAAGAAAAGAAAAGAAAAGAAAAGAAAAGAAAAGAAAAGAAAAGAAAAGAAAAGAAAGGAAAGGAAAGGAAAAGGAAAAGGAAAAGGAAAAGGUCUAGCGGAGCUGUUGCCAUUGUUAGAAACGAUUUCCUUCAAACACAACUUGAUUUUCCAGUUUGAGGCAAAUUAUGCCCUGAGGGGACGUAUAUGAACAUAUAAGCAAAAUUACCUCUGUUUAAUAUUAAAACAAAACAAAAAAUCCAAAAAAUCAAGAUAAAUAUUUUUAUUUAUUGUUUGCUCAUUCUCGUGAGGUUGAGAAUCAAGUCCUUUAUAAUUUUUAAAUAAAUUCGACGUUUUUACUCUACACAAUUAUGAAACGUGUUUAAUUCUCGAUUGAUUUCAGGUGGCCUACCCUGUAGAGAAACCGGUGCCCUACGCCGUCCCAAAACCCUACCCCGUCACCGUUGAGAAGAAGGUGCCCGUGACGGUGUACAAACCAUAUCCGGUUCAUGUCCCCGUUUACAAGAUCAAACAUAUCUACCAUGAGCCCAAAUGGCAUAAGUGGUCGUCUUCGAGCGUUUGGAAAACGCGGCCACGAACUAAAGUCAUCUUCAUACAUCAACCGGCAAAGUUUUACCGCCAUGACCACGGGGACUUUGUACGCCGACAGAGGAAAAAACGACGCCUGCGAAAAAAGCUCCAUCGGUUAG
rnacentral:lncRNA from 1 species